rnacentral:snRNA from 1 species
GCGCUCAUGUCAGCACUGCAUAUACUAAAAUUGGAACAGUUCAGAGAUUAGCAUGGCCCCUGGCACAGGAAUAAUUCCAGAGUUUCUAACUUGU